rnacentral:tRNA from 1 species
AAGAAAGUAUGGAACCACGGUAAGUACUGCUAAUACUUACCCCCGCGGUUAAACUCCGCGGCUUUCUCG